UACGGAGGGAGCUAGCGUUGUUCGGAAUCACUGGGCGUAAAGGGUGCGUAGGCGGGUCUUUAAGUCAGGGGUGAAAUCCUGGAGCUCAACUCCAGAACUGCCUUUGAUACUGAAGAUCUUGAGUUCGGGAGAGGUGAGUGGAACUGCGAGUGUAGAGGUGAAAUUCGUAGAUAUUAGAAGAACACCAGUGGCGAAGGCGGCUCACUGGCCCGGUACUGACGCUGAGGCGCGAAAGCGUGGGGAGCAAACAGG
rnacentral:rRNA from 1 species